rnacentral:rRNA from 1 species
GAUGAACGCUAGCUACAGGCUUAACACAUGCAAGUCGAGGGACCGGCGCACGGGUGAGUAACACGUAUCCAACCUGCCCUUUACUCGGGGAUAGCCUUUCGAAAGAAAGAUUAAUACCCGAUGUUAAGGAUGGGGAUGCGUUACUUUAGGUUGUUGGUGAGGGAACGGCUAACCAAGCCUUCGAUGGAUAGGGGUGCUGAGAGGAAGGUACCCGAGAGUUGAACUAGUGCACGGACCAAACUCCUACGGGACGGAGCAGUGUGGAAUAUUGGUGAAUGGGCGUUGGCCGUAACCAGCCGAGUAUGGUGAAAGAGGAAGGCGUAUGAGUCGUAAACUUCUAUUAUAUAAGAAGAGGUAUUAUAUGAAUAAGGAUCGGCUAACUCCGUGCCAGCAGCCGCGGUAAUAC